AGUGAACGCUGGCGGUAGGCCUAACACAUGCAAGUCGAACGGCAGCACAGUAAGAGCUUGCUCUUACGGGUGGCGAGUGGCGGACGGGUGAGGAAUACAUCGGAAUCUACUUUUUCGUGGGGGAUAACGUAGGGAAACUUACGCUAAUACCGCAUACGACCUACGGGUGAAAGCAGGGGAUCUUCGGACCUUGCGCGAUUGAAUGAGCCGAUGUCGGAUUAGCUAGUUGGCGGGGUAAAGGCCCACCAAGGCGACGAUCCGUAGCUGGUCUGAGAGGAUGAUCAGCCACACUGGAACUGGGACACGGGCCAGACUCCUACGGGAGGCAGCAGUGGGGAAUAUUGGACAAUGGGCGCAAGCCUGAUCCAGCCAUACCGCGUGGGUGAAGAAGGCCUUCGGGUUGUAAAGCCCUUUUGUUGGGAAAGAAAAGCAGCAGGUUAAUACCCCGCUGUUCUGACGGUACCCAAAGAAUAAGCACCGGCUAACUUCGUG
rnacentral:rRNA from 1 species